CAGAAGACAAAUGAUGAAGGAGGUGGAUCUGCUGAGACCCCACUUGAAGCAGAUUAAGAAAGAAAAUCUUUAAUAUCAGAUAAAAGGACCCCUCCUCCUGCUGCUGAGCAAAUGUAGGUCGUGGUUUCAGCCGCGGUUUGCGAGGCACCGAUGCAGUGCAGUCGGCUUGUUUUGUGAGAAGAGACGAAGUGACAAUUCCACUUC
rnacentral:lncRNA from 1 species